ensembl:lncRNA
GAGUGAUAUCACCUCUAAUACAGCUGACCUGAGUGAUAUCACCUCUAAUACAGCUGACCUGAGUGAUAUCACCUCUAAUACAGCUGACCUGAGGGCCAGUUUGUUGGUGCCGUCAUGCAACUACCUCUCAUUGUCAUGCCAAAUACAGGGAUCUGCCUAAAUCUAGGAAAACCCAAUAUACAGGGUGGGUUGCACCAACAUGGAGGAACUCUUAAGCCUUCAUUUAACCCAGUUUCAUCUUCAUCUUGUUGCACCAAACUUUAAAUCUAUUUUUAAAUGAAUCCUAGUUAAAAUGAAUCCUUCUUCUAAUCAUAAGUUUUAGUUUUCACUUUAAACCUAGAGUCAUUUUAAGCUUGAAUAUAAACUUAGAUUGGAGAUUCUGAACUGCCAUUUGAUGUGGUUGAACUGAUAAAAUGACAGGAUAUCGACUGUGGAGAGACCAGAACGACAGAGUUCCUCAGAGAACAUUACGAGACAGGUUGUAUCCUGUUGAGUUUUUUUUAUAAUGAUGAGUUUUCAAGGAGAUGCCGCUUCUCCAAGGAAUCUGUAAUGCAACUGGAAAGAAAGGUUGGACCAAGCGUGGGAACGACGGUAACGAGGAUGUACCCCUACUACUUCAGCUCCUGAUGACUCUACGGUUCUAUGUAACUGGAUGUUUCCAGAUGGUGGAUGGAUGUGGACCUUUCUGGACUCCACAAGUCAACCGUCUACAGGAUUGUAGUGUCCAGUGCUUUUGCCGGCCUGAAGAACGAGUACAUCAGGUUCAGUCCUACAGAGGAAACAGCAGCUGGAUUUUGAGAUGAAAGCUAGAUUCCCGUGUGUACUAUGGGCAAUAGACUGGACACACAUUCCUAUUCCGAACCCUGGUGGUGGGAAUGGAGAACUAUUCUGUAAUCAGAAAGGUUACUGCUCCGUCAACAUGCAGGCUGUCUGUGAUGUCAAAGGUCAGCUCACCAACAUCCUAGCAAGACGGCCAGGAUCCACCCAUGACAGCAGAUACUUUGACAAUAGUCGUCUGUGUGCAAUGCUGGAACGGGGAGCAUAUGAAGGCCCCCUACUACGUAACAAUGGAUAUUCUUGUCAUGGGAACCUUAUGACUCCCCUUUUAAACCCCCAGACACCUGAAGAGAGACAAUCCACCACCUCAUAUCCUGACAAGAGAUCUCAUAGAGAGAGAAUGCACCACCUCUCAUAUCCUGACAAGAGAUCUCAUAGAGAGAGAACACACCACCUCUCAUAUCCUGACAAUAGAUUUCAUAGAGAGAGAACACACCACCUCUCAUAUCCUGACAAGAGAUCUCAUAGAGUUUUUGUAGUAUGGAAGAAAAGAUUCCCUCCCCUACAGGUGGUGCUCUGCAUGAAGAUGGACACUACACUGACAAUCACUAUUGCAGUGGAAGUUCUGUAUAACUUUAGCAAGAGACAAGGAGACAAGCUACCUGAGGAGGCUGAGGAGGACCUACCUGAGGAGGAUGAGGAGAAUGGAGAAGAUGGCCAGGUGCAACAUGCUGUUGAUGUGAAUGCGAUGAGGAGAACUUUGAUUGAGAACCAUUUUUGCAGCCUAACAUGUGUGUGUAUAGUGUAACAUGUAAAAAGCAAUAUUAUAUUUUGACUGACGUGCAAUUCUUAAUAAGACUAUCUGUAUUAAAAUGCAUUAUUAAGUCAUUUGUUAUUCUCGAUCAUAAAGGGGGGAACUGGAAGCACCAGAACAUGAGUGGGGGCACCACAUUGCUAGGGAAAGCAUUGUUUUAAUAAAUAACAAGAUUAGCAUUCUUUCCACAUUUGUUCCCCUGAAGGCGUUUCUGUUUCUGAAUUCGCAGUAGCUCUUUUUUGUAAACUCAGAAUCUCAGUCUGCGGAAUAUUUUUCUCUCCCUCCUGCGCCAAAACAUCAAUAUGAGCUGUUUUAGUCUUGGGUUCUGGGGGCGUUCGAUUGGCCCGGCUAGUUCAAGAUCCAGGCAUUGCUGUUUCUCUACGACAACAGGGUGUCGGCUCAACUGAAGAGAAUCAACUCCUUAUUAGAACUUACCUUCCCAUUUUGUAAUUGAAUUAGAGCUUGUGAUACACCUUGGUAGAAUGAUGACGUUAUGCAACAUGCUGUAACGGGACUGAGAACAGUAACAUUCUAGUGAAAUACUAUUAGCGUUAGUUUCAGUGGUGGAAAAAGUCAUUUCACACUGUUGUAAAAGUAAUGAUAUCUUAAUAGAAAAUAACUCCAGUAAAAGUCAGCCAGUAAAAUACUACUUGAGUAAAAAGUCAAAAGUAUUUGGUUUUAAAUGUUCUUAAGUAUCAAAAGUAAAAGUAUGAAUUAUUUAAUGUUCCUUACAUUAAGAAAUCCAGAUGGCACGGUUUUAUUACAUACAUACAUUGACAGUUUGCCAGUGUCACACUCCAACACUCAGACAUCAUUUACAAAUGAAACAUUUGUGUUUAGUGAGUCUGCCAGAUCAGAUGCAGUGGGGAUGACCAGGGGAUGUUCUCUCGAUAAGUGCCCGAAUUGGACCAGGUUCCUGUCCUGCUAAGUAUUCAAGAAAAUGUAUGGAGUAAAAUGUUGUUUAAGUCUUUUCUUUAGGAAUGUAGUGAAGUAAAAAUAAAAGUUGUCCAAUAUAUAAAUAGUAAAGUACAGAUACCCAAAAAACUGACUUAAGUAGUACUUUAAUAUAUUUUAACUUAAGUACUUUACACCACUGGGUAGUUUUGACAUGCAUUGUAGUCAUUGAUGUUAACCAGUUAUUUAUGCUUACUAAAUAUUGGUGGGACUAGUUGUCCGUUGUCAUCAUAGGGUUAACUGUUCGGGUAUCAUCACAUAUGUCCUGAGAGAGAGACUGUGGUCUGAAAUAUCUUCCGCCUCUCAUCUGCUGCAUUAUUUUUGGCUUUCGCUUUGAAGUUUUUCCCAGCAGCCUUCAUCUGAUUUGUGUCCCUCUCCUCUUUCAUGUCAAUCAUUUAAAUAUGUCGCAUAAAACAGCCCAGGUGUCGUCUUUCAUCCUCCAGUACGUUACUAAAUUCCUCCAUCAGCUCAGUACGUUACUAAAACUAAGUUUACAUACACCUUAGCCAAAUACAUCUAAACUUAGUUUUUCACAAUUCCUGACAUUUAAUCCUAGUAAAAAUCACUUUAUUUUAAGAACAUGAAAUGUCAGAAUAAUAGUAGAGAGAAUGUGGGUCAGAAGUUUACAUACACUCAAUUAGUAUUUGGUAGCAUUGCCUUUAAAUUGUUUAACUUGGGUCAAACAUUUUGGUUAGCCUUCCACAAGCUUCCCACAAUAAAUUGGGUGAAUUUUGGCCCAUUCCUCCUGACAGAGCUGGUGUAACCGAGUCAAGUUUGCAAGGCCUCCUUGCUUGUACACUUUCAGCUCUGCCCACAAAUGUUCUAUAGGAUUGAGGUCAGGGCUUUGUGAUGGACACUCCACUCCAGGUCAGGGCUUUGUGAUGGACACUCCACUCCAGGUCAGGGCUUUGUGAUGGACACUCGACUCCAGGUCAGGGCUUUGUGAUGGACACUCCAGGUCAAGGCUUUGUGAUGGACACUCCACUCCAGGGCUUUGUGAUGGACACUCCACUCCAGGUCAGGGCUUUGUGAUGGACACUCCACUCCAGGUCAGGGCUUUGUGAUGGACACUCCAGGUCAGGGCUUUGUGAUUGGCACUCCACUCCAGAUCAGGGCUUUGUGGUGGACACUCCACACUCUGAUGCCUAUCAGAAGCUUUUAAAGCCAUGACAUCAUUUUCUGGAAUUUUCCAAGCUGUUUAAAGGCACAGUCAACUUAGUGUAUGUAAACUUCUGAUCCACUGGAAUUGUGAUACAGUGAAUUAUAAGUGAAAUAAUCUGUUUGGAAACAAUAGGACAAAUUACUUGUCAUGCACAAAGUAGAUGUCCUAACCGACUUACCAAAACUAUAGUUUGUUAAGAAGAAAUUUGUGGAGUGGUUGAAAAAUAAUUUUUAUUGACUCCAACCUGAGUGUAUGUAAACUUAUGACUUCAACUGUAUAUGCUGUGUAUAGAGCCCCACAUUGGAGGUGUGAUAAUACCCAUACAACCUAGCGGUGAAACAGAGAAAUGGUUCCAGUCUAUUUUCCACCAUUCAUUCUUCCCAUUGGGGAUAGUUAGAAACACUUAAAAUAAGGUCUGUGUUUCAUGUAGGCUUACCCUGGCGUGACAUUUUAUUAACCUGUAAAUCUCUCUUGGACAAGAUUACUUUUAUCAAUAUAUUUGGCUCUAUUUACUCUCAGAUUUGAAAACACUAAUUAGCAUCAAAGUAGAGAUCGUGAAAAACUACAAAUACAUGUUCCUGCACGUCAUCUCUAGCUGACACCAGGUACAUAACAGGUAUUAUGGAAAUUUCAAACUUGCACAAGACAGUUCACAGAAUUGCAGGAAAUAAACUUUAAAACAGAUGUUUUUUUCUCUCCAACGUCAGGAGGGGGGGGCACUAAAAUAUUUUGCAGUGAGGUAGUGGGGCCCCCAAAAGGCUACUGCCGGCCCUGGAGAUCUGGAUACAAUGCAGCUAGAUAAUAAACUAACGAAGCAGCUGGAAGAAAUACUGGUGGCUAUGACAGAAGCCAAACGUGAGUUGGCUUGGGGGUGUGGUUUGACGUCCUUGCCACCACCAAGACACACCCAUCUGUCAGAACCUUGCCUGCAGCUGUUUCCUCCCCACUCAUUCACAACAAACAAACCUCCUGUAGAUUCAGUUCAAUAACUACAGGCAGAUGUAUGGUGAGAUGCCAGAGGAAGCUUUGACUAGGUCAGUAGUCUACAGAGUAAUAUGAGAAGAAUGCAAUUGUUGAAUUUAUGUAGAUAUUCUAAACUAAGUGUUUUGAUAACUUUCAAUUGUAGUAACAGCUCCAUGUAGAAUAAACAAGCCUUUACAUAAAACCA